rnacentral:rRNA from 1 species
UACGUAGGGUGCGAGCGUUGUCCGGAAUUAUUGGGCGUAAAGAGCUUGUAGGUGGCUCGUCGCGUCGGGAGUGAAAACCCGCGGCUUAACCGCGGGCCUGCUUUCGAUACGGGCGGGCUAGAGUUCGGCAGGGGAGACUGGAAUUCCUGGUGUAGCGGUGGAAUGCGCAGAUAUCAGGAGGAACACCGGUGGCGAAGGCGGGUCUCUGGGCCGAUACUGACACUGAGGCACGAAAGCGUGGGGAGCAAACAGG